UUCUGAUUCAGCUGCGGCUUUCCCUCUAGCUUGACGGCAGGAGAGCAGGAUCUUGGAGGAGUGUCUCCCCUGACUUCAGGAUCUUGGAGAAGUAUCUCCCCUGGCUUCAGCAUCUUGGAGGAGUGUCUCCCCUGACUUCAGGAUCUUGGAGGAGUGUCUCCCCUGGCUUCAGGAUCUUGGAGCUGUGUCUCCCCUGACUCCAGGAUCUCAGAGGAGUGUCUCUCAGCUGCUGAUGUAUGUUAGAAGGAAACUGUGGCAGCCCGUCUAUGCGGCUGCUCAUUUUUAGAUAUUCAGAAGUUUGCUGUAAAAACCUCUACUAGAACUUAAAACAUAAAAGCCCCUGCCAGAAAGGAGUUCUAUUUUCUUUAGUUUGGAAGGAUUUUCAGGAGAUUGAAUUUCUAGAAAUAUCAGAAGUUAGACAUCAUGUGUUUUCUUAUAAUGGGACUCCUUUAUUCUUUUAAUUAUAUAAAGCAAUGAUGAUGCUAUCAGACUGGACGUCCCCACCCACAAAGGCCACAGGCUGGGUCACUUAUUGGGUGACCACUGGCUGUGAAAACACUCCCCUGACAGACUGUUGGUUAAAAUCGUGAUGGAGUGAUAGGAAGUUGCAAUUUGCAGAGAAAGUCUUUUCCAGCAAGCCUUCUGGGACAAGGCCAUUCAGAACACUAUCUGAUAAUCCAUGAGACCAAAUGAAAACAGGCCAACUUGAAACAUUGCUGUGUUCCUAAUUUGAACUAAAUGACAAGAGGGCAGAGGCCCAACUGGAUUUGUCUGAACUUGGAAACCCUUUAAGGAAGUAAUCAUUAAGGGAGAAUGAAAGUUCAAGCUGGAAGAUUAAAUGAGACACAGUUGCCUCGCGUGAGUUCAAGGCUCCGGGCCCGCUCAGGUCACACGGCAGCAUCCUGGAGGAACUACAAGACGAAAGUACUAGACUCGCAUCUGUCUCCGAGGACAUGUGGGCAGCUGCGCACUUUCCAGGAGACUGGAACAGGGGCCUGACCUUGGACAACAGAAUCAGACCUAUCGGAGAAGGUGGGGAGCAGAGGAUGUGGGUGAAGGACACCACCAGGACUGGGUGGAGGAUGCCACAGCAAGUGAAGAUGGCAUUGAGUCAGUCCAGGAAGGCUGCGUUGUCUGUUUGUCAUUGCAGCAUGGUGUGAGCAAUAUUUUCCUCUCACAAGGGAAGAAGCAGUGAUAACACAGGGAAAAAGCCUUCUUUUCUGAGACUGGGGAUUAAAUAAACCAAGACUGACCCAGCAAAUAGGAUCAUCAAAUACAAUUUAAAUGACAGUCAUAACCAUGGCAGCUUUCAUGUCUUAGCAUAAUACGUUCACUUAGGCAUCCUUUGGUUGCCUCUGCCGUCAGACUGGAGGAAUGCCCACCACCACCUCCAGCGUUGGCUGACCUCAGGUAAAGGAGGCCUGGGGGACCAUCUAGUUUGGAAAGUAAGUGCUCUAGGACUUGUGUCGCAUCUCCACCCACAGCUCUCAGGUCAGAGAUUGGCUCAAUUCGGAUCUCAAGGAGACACAACCAGAGACAGACAGGUGGAAGUAAUGAGAUUGGAAAGAAAUUGAAUGGUAUCCAAGAGUACUUCUCACAAGGGAAAGCUUAAUUAUAGACAUCCGUGCAUAUAGAAUAUUAUACAUUCAUAAAUCACAUACAUACACACAGAGGAAGAAGGAAAAACAUAGUUAAACAAGAAAGUGUUUUAACAGCCAACCACAUGUGUACAUGACAACAAACUCUUUUGAUCGUGCUGAGACUCACCAGUAAGUACUAAAGAACUGACAAAUCCUCAGAGGUGUGUGUGUGUGUGUGUGUGUGUGUGUGUGUGUGUGUGUGUGUGUGUGUGUGUGUAGAGGCAGGGAGAACAGUGUUAUAGUGAGGAUGCCUGGGCCACUGUGAAAAAUGGACUAGAGAGGCCCAGUUAUGCCUCAUAAAUCCAUCCAGUGCCAUUUUGAGCAAAUGAAGCUGAAAACUGAACUCAGAAUGACAAAGGAAAUCAUAAGUCUACAUGGCAUCUGAAAUAGUGUUUCACUCUCUUAGUGAAAAAAUAAAUUACGUAGUUUCCUUCACCUAUGGGAGAAAAUGCUACCCUGCCACACAUGCCCUUGCUGUCCACAAGUAUGACUGUUUCCACAUGAACAACUCGUCCACAACUCCACUCAUUUCAUCACACUGUCUCCUUGUGUGAGGCUGGAAAAGCCAUCCAUCCAUGCCUCGGUGUGUUUAGAAAGAAUGAGAAUUUUGACUCACAUUUCCAAGGAAGUGAAUACUAUUCUAGAAGUUGAGUAUCAAAUUAACAGAGAUGCUUCAUUAAUGCCUGGGAGCACAAUAUUGUUUUGUCCAUAAUCAGGGCUAGCACAAAUUUUAUAUAAUAUAAGAUAUAACAUUCUUACAUAAGAUAUAACACUCUUUUAUAAUAUGUAAUUUAUAAUAUAUAUUUUUAAUCUUGCAAUAGCAAAAACCCUGCUCAUAGUAACUUAAGCCAUUAGGGAUGUAUUGCUCUGUGUAAUAACAAUAACAGCAACAACAGCAAAAUCUUGAGUCCAGAAUGAGACUCCUGUAGUAAGAGAGGUUCAAAGAUCAUUCUCCCUCACCUGCCUCACCCAUUUUCUUUUCCCACUUCUAAGAUCUUCCACUCCUGCUUUUAUCCUCAAAAAAGCCCCCUUAAUGGUAACAAGAUAUCCACCAGCAUCUGCAUGCUCACAUGAUCUAGGGAAAAGGACAUUUAUCCUUAAGACUUCCAACAAGAAUGCCACAGUUUUGUUUCACUGGCUUUGACUGGCUGGGCUGAGUGGGACAUGUGAACAUUGAUAUACAAUCCAGUGAGGUAUCUGGAUAGGGCAAGCACACAUCACAUGACUCUACCCACUAGAGAUGCGUGUAGGGUUUAGGAUAGAACUCCAAGGCAAAUUACAAUAUUAGUUACAGAUGUUGUUUGGGCCCAAGUACUGACAUUUUAAAGUGUAAUUUCUACAUGUUGCCAUGUCCUCUGAAGUUUUGGACUCACCUUGAUAGUGUCCAUAGAGAAAGGAACUGGUGCUGCCUCUGGGUCUUUUUGUGCAUCUGCUUCUCAUUAGAUGGCACCCUGAGUUAGGAAGACAUACGAAAACAAAGCGGCAAUACUACGGAAAAAAAGACGUUCUAACAUGAGCUGAAGUCAGAAUAUUUUCAUUGAUGGCUAACUAGAAUUAUUCUAUAAUUACUCCACCACAGCCCUGGAAAUGAGUCACCAAGAACUGAAUAUUUAUAAGCUUCCUGACCUCAAAAACUUCAAAAUCUUACAUGGGGUCACCUAAGGAGACUGUGGAAAACUUCCAUGCAACUUAUUGGCAGAUGAUUUCAGUUCUUAUUUCAACAAGCUUGGUAUGAGAUGCAUGCCAUCUGGUUCCUGGGAAAAUUCUAGAGCAUAUUAACUGCUUGUGUGUGUCUGAGAGAGUCCUGCCAUUUAGUUGUAAAUGAUUGCACCUGCAAAUGAGAAAUAAGAAAGAGAACAUGUCUUAUCAUUUGCUCCAGGGCUGGGAGAUUUGAUGACACAAUACUGCUGCUUCAUCUACUUUCAAAAUCUGUGCCUGAUCAGUCCAGCUGUUCUCCUGCGACUAUUUUGAACAUGCUGUGUGGUAUACUAGAAUAGAGGCCUUUUAAGGGAAGAUUUCAAGAGUACUCAGUUGAAGACUGUACUGGUCUCUUUCCAUUUCUUCAAGGCAUUUCUGAUGGUUUCAAGAUAAAUUGAAAGUGCUUCUGAUUUUUAUUUUAACCCUUUUAAGAAGGAUGCUUCAGGGAGGAGUAGUUUCUGUUGGGCUGGGGUGACUGAUCUGAGACACAGGCAGUGCUCUAGCUAAUCUGAGGCUGUGCAGACACCAGCAAUACCUCCCUAUCUAUCAUCCUUUUUCACCUUCCCAGAGAGAGAAUGGUGACUCACUAGCAUUAUCUAGCCUUGAGUCUUUUACUGGGAGACUGAUGUGCUGUAACAUUUGAAAACGUUGUUACAAAGAUGCCUUUUCUAUUACUGCAAACAGUUUGUGAAUUCAACUUUUGUUUCAUUUGUAAUAUGCUGUGUACUGCCCUCAAUAUUGCAAAGCCAAGGUAGAGUACAGGAAAGUUGAUACAACAAAAAAGAUGAUGGGAUUUAGUUUGGAGAGUUUAUUUAUACCCUAUCUCCCCCAACUGGGUGGUCCAAGAAAAAUUGUUUGCAUUCCAUAGCAGUUAGCUUUUCAAAGGGGAUUAAGUGCAAUUACUGCAGAGAAAAUAGGAAGUUUCAAUGAAAUGCUACACAUGCAAGUGCUUGAGCUAAACAAAUGCUCCUUGAACAUGUCUCCUCCAACUCAGGCAUUGUGCAAGGACUCUGUUUGUCUAGUCUUCUCAAACUAAUUGCCCUGACCUGUGGAAUUCACAGCAUGAACAAAUUACUCCCAGUUGAAUGAAUAUUAUUUUCAGAAUCAGAUUGCAAGCUCCCUGUGGGGAAGAAAGGGGCUUUCUUCAUCUGUGAGUGCCAGACAUUGAGAAAGAACGAAUGGACAUAAUUGUUGGCAGGGUCCUACCCAGUCACAUCAUUCGGUUUUUCCAACACACCAGGUAGUGAACUAAAGGUGUCUUUGUGCUGUGCUGGAACUGUUACCACUGCCAGAUGGACUCUUUUCAUCCACAGAAGAAUUCAGCUACAGAUGAGACUGCAUUCCAGAAAAUAUGAAAGUCAGAGUCCUAACAGAUUCAAUCAAUUUCAGGAAAACAUUCUUAUUCAAUGCCAUGAACCUAAAAAGGAUACCAUGCCCUGUCUGCAGUAUGACCUUAGACCUCUCAGUUAUAGAAGCUGAGUGAUUAAUAAACUUGGGCCAUAACACUGGAAUGGGCAACUGAGAUUGUGACAGACUUGCUGAAUCCUUGAAUUCACAAAGGAUGAUGGGGAAUCGACAUCAAGGUAUAAAAUAUUUAAAUAUGAAUCACAAACAGAGAUAACAUAGUCUAGAGUCCAAGAAAAUAAAGAGCCAGGGACAAUGAAUGGUUUUUGACUAUGAGCUGUCUGUGAGAAACAGUAGGCAUGUAAAUGCUCUAUUCCAUAUUUGCUUUGGUUUUUCCUUACCCCAGGCUACCCUUGAACUUCAGGCAAACCUCUUGCCUUAUAGAUCAUUAUUCUCAGCUUGUUGGGUCUUUUGUUUGUUUGUGUGUUUUGAGACAAGGUUUCUCUAUGUAACAGUCCUGGUUGCCCUGGAACUCACUCUGAAGACCACUAGCUUUGAACUCAGAGAUCCACCUGCCUCUGCCUCCAGAGUGCUGGGAUCAAAGGUGUGUGCCACCACCGCGCAGCAUUUCUUGGGUCUUAAUUCACAUUUGUCUUCAGGAAAAAAAUUAACCAUGUGGUUGAUAUAUUAUGCCCCAAUUAUUGAUUAUAUAUAUUGUAUAUAGCUAUUGUACUUAUUGUAUGUAAUUUUUCUUAUGUUACAACUUUUUUUAAAAUUUUUUAUUAGACAAAAAAAGGGGAAAUGUGGUGAUAUUUUAUUUGUGCUUUAGUAAAUAGAGUUUGCCUGGAGAUCAGAGGAAAUAGCAAGACAUUUUAAGUAAACAAAGAAGUUAGGCAGUGAUAGCACACGCCUUUAAUCCUAUCACUUAGCAGGCAGGAUCUCUAUGUGUUCAAGGCCACACUAGGGAACAGAGUCAAGCAUGGUGACACACGCCUUUAAUCCUAGUACCAACCAUAGAGGCCUGGAGGUCUGACAAACAGAAAGUGACAGAGCUGUGUAGGAAGAGGAAGUGAGGUAGCUGGGCUAAGAGAGCCAAUGAGAGGGCAGAACAGCAAGGCAAUAAAGGUGUGGGUAGACAGGAAGUAACUGGCAUUUGGAAGCGAGGUGGUAAGAUAAGGUUAGCUAUGGCUUUCCCUAUUUUCCUGAUCUUUCUCUAAGGCUUUCACCCCUAUAUUUGGCUCUGUGUAUUUUAUUUAAUAAGACCAUCUAGAAAUUUGUCUACAUAACUGGACAAAAAUUAGAAGAAAAAGUGAGACAAUCCCUCACCAUUGUAUACAAGACAUUAAAGAUAACAAUAUCUUUUUCAUGUUUGUCUAAAAUUUUGAUGAAUAUCAAUUCACUUCUUAAACAUUCAGUUUUACAAUGCCAGAUUCUAAAUGGUAGGAAUUUGUUAUUUAAAGCAUUCAGCAUCACUUAACACCACUUUGAUAGCUUACAUUUAAGAUCAAUUAUAUAUUUUUUAAAUGUCUUUUAUCUUCAAAAUGUUUCACAUUACUUAUUAAAAUGUCUCUUAUUAAAAUAUACUUUAAAGGGAUUAUCCUCCCCUGGGAAGAAUUAGUUAAUUUACACUAAUGAUGUUUUGAUGAAGAGAAUUUCUUUUUGAAUUCAUGUGGUUUUUAUAAGACUGUUUAAUUGUUGAACAUUGAAUUGCAUCUUAUUUAUCAGAGCUGGGGUCGGACUUUGUGUGUCAUACAUGUGGUUGCUCUUGACAACAUUAUUUAAGUAAGUUUUAGUUGUUUCACAGGUUGGUGAAGGUCAAGGGACUAAAACUCAACUUGGGCUCCUGAGAACAGACACACCUGUGUGGUCUGAGCUGUGCCAUUGACACGAAGAAGUCCUCUUGGGGACAUAACCACUUUGCUACUUUAAGGUCUUUAACAUUUCAUGCACUGUGCAUUUCUCAGGUGAGAGUAUACUAUUCUCCACUCAAAAAAAUUUUUUUCUAUUAAGGACAUGUAGCUAAAAAUAAUAGCUUAUGUUCCAAUUAGUAAAAGUUGGCCAAAACUAUAAAAUAGGUUUAUAAGGAAAAUAAUUUACAUCUUUUGUUUAUCAUAAACAGUUCAUUUUCUUGUGUUUUAUAUUUACACCAGGGUUGGUUUUAAAACAGAAUGAUUUUGAAAUUAGAAGUUUUCAAAUAAUUAUAUUAAAAAUCUAUCACCUAUUUAAUAUUGUUUUUAGUUCUUUUUCUGUUUGUGCUGAAGAGUAGCGUUCCCUUAUUUUAUUUUAUUUUUAUAUAUUAUGAUGAUUCCUUAGGAACCCGUUUGUUUUUAAUGAGAGACAGACAGGGAGUGGAUCCAGAUGGGAGGGGAGGGGAGGAGGAACUCGGAGGAUUAGAGGGAGGGGAAACUGUAAUCCGGAUAUAUUAUGUGAGAAGAAAAUCUAUUGUCAAUAAAAGGAGAAAAAUAAAAUUCUGGACCCCAUCCCCCCAAAAGGAGCAGGAUUGUCUAUUUUCCACUCUACAGACAUGCAAUCCUGAACUCUCAUUUUGCCUUCCAUAGGAAUACAAUUCCAGUUUCCAUUUUUGCCCUCAGAUGAGGACUGGGGCAGUGGACUGGAUAGAAGGGAAAGGGGUGACUGAGGAAGGGAGACCCUGGCUGGAUUCUCACAUCCAUCUAUUCUCUGCUUUCAUCCUCAGAACCUGGACUGGCUGGUUUUGUGUGUCAACUUCACACAAGUUAGAGUCAUCAGAGAGGAAGGAGCCUCAGUUGAGGAAAUGCCUCCAUGAGAUCCAGCUGUAAGGCAUUUUCUCAAUUAAUCAAUGGGGGAGAGCCCAGUCCAUGGCGGGUGGUGCUAUUCCUGGGCUGGUAAGUCCUGGGUUUUAUAAGAAAGCAGGUUGAUUAAGGCAGGGGAAGCAAGCUAGUAAGCAGCACUCCUCUAUGACCUCUGCAUCAGCUCCUGCCUCCAGGAUCCUGCCCUGUUUGAAUUUUUGCCUUGACUUCCUUCAGUGAUGAACAGCAAUGCUGAAGUGUAAGCCAAAUAAACUCUUUCCUCUCCAGCUUGCUUUUUGGUCAUGGUGUUUCGUCGCAGUGAUAAAAAUCCCAACUAACACAGAACCCAAUGGCCACACGACUUCCUCUUUUGGUUAUUACUCUUGGAGCAGGACAGAGUGGAUCUUCUAUGUCUUAGACUGCCAGCAUUCUCCUAUUUAUUUCCUUGAGGCCUGAAUAGCAAUCUAACAAUAACUGAACAUUUAGGAUGCACACACAGAGGCACAGAUGCUGCCAGCUACUGUGGUUAUUGAUGUAGGCUUGAGUGGGAAAUGAUAGUUUGUCAAGAGCACAUGAAGAGGAAGAAGCCCAGAAACCACACAGGAAGCAGAUCCCAUAUAUUUGAGUGUGCCUUAUGUUUCUUUCAUGUCUUUGGUCUCUCUUCCUCCCUAUCUGUACAGAAAAUACACUACCCUAAGCCAGAGACAUCCUGUGAUCAAACUCUUCAGAGGUUAUAACUACCAUUAUGAGAAUGCUUCAUAUCUUCCAUCAUCAGCAGACAAAAACAAAGUCCCUUCUGUGUUUGAACGGAAUGUGCACUGACGCCAUCUGUGGUGGUUUGAAUAAAACUGGCCUCCAUAGACUCAUAGGGAAUGGCAUUACUGAAGGUGUGGGCUUUUUGGAGGAAGUAUAUCACUGGAGUGGGAUUUGAGGUUUCAGAAGCUUAAUCCAGGAUCAGUGUCCUUUUCACUGCCUGCUGCCUGCUGAUCUGGAUGUAGAACUCUCAGCUACCUCCCCAGCAUCAUGUCUGCCUGAGUGCCACCAUACUUCCCUCCAUGACAAUAAUCUGAACCUUUGAAGCAAACCUUUGAAUCUAAAAGUCAACCCCAAUUAAAUGUUUUCCUUUAUAAGAGUUGCUAUGGUCAUGGUGUCUCUUCACAGCAAUAGCAAACGCAACUAAGAUACAUCUUACCUGGGAUAGAUCCUAGCACUUUUUAAUUAAACUGCUCUAAAAGAAGCCAUGUCGUACUUCAAGGGACACUUUGAUUUGGGUCCCCACAUGGCCUUAUUUGUUACUAGCUUACUCUUCAUUUGCUGGCUAAUACAGUGCUAGCACUGUCCCAGACCACUGAUACCAGUGACAUGAAGAGCUGAACUUAAGUUUGAAGAGCUAGAGACAUGGAUCUUAAUAGUGAGACAGUAAGAACAUCCUUUGCUGGUGAUCCUAACCUUCUUCCCUUAUUACAGAUGAAUAGUUACAGAUUAGAAAAAUAAUUACAGAUAAAUAUUAGUUACAGAUAAGAAAAAAAUAACUGUUUAGCAUGGCUUCAAUGGUCUUUUAUAAUCUUUUGACUUUUUCAGCUGCAAUCAUCUCUCUGCCCUUAACUUGAAAAAUUUGGAGUUUGUUGAACAUUUCUUUUUCCUUCUUCUGGCCCUUUGUACAUAGGGUUGCUUUUGCUUCUAGGCUCUUCCAUCAUGUUUAUGUCCUGGUUAAGUCUUCCCCUGUACACCGACAUAGAUUUAUUUCUUUUGACAAGUGGCUGAUUGGUUUCCACAGGAAGAUGAGCACCACACUGCAGUGCCCCUGCCAGAAGGGUUUGUUAGGAUGCAACCCCUCACACUCUUACCACCUACUCUCUCUUCCUCCUGAUUAUGCAUCCCUCGACAAAAGGUGAUGCUGUAACCAUGGCUUUUAGCUAUUUGUUUCUGCAACUGAAACAUCCAUGGGUAGGAAAAAAAAGAGCACCUUCAUCAGUAAGUCCCAAAGGAAAUGAACCAUUUUUACCUAAGACUGAAAAAGAACUUCUGGGGAGUUGGACUCUAAAUUGUAACUCUGGGCUGUAGAAAACUAUUAACUAUUGACUGACUCAUCAAUCAUUUGCUAAAGCUCCUCUCCUUUGAUGCAUAACUUUGGAGAAACACACUUGAUAAUGAAUGAUGCCCAAGAAAAGAAGAAAGGAUGGCCAGUGAGCAUGGAUUAGACUUUACCAUUGUUACUGAUUAAUUCAUUAUUUGAAACAUUUCAACAGUGGGUGAUAUUAAACUGAAUGAAAAGCUAAAACCACCAAAUAGCUUAAGGAGAAUGACUUGAGUAGUGAUAAUGAUGGUCAAGAAC